rnacentral:rRNA from 1 species
AUUGAACGCUGGCGGCAGGCUUAACACAUGCAAGUCGAGCGGGGGAAGGUAGCUUGCUACCGGACCUAGCGGCAGACGGGUGAGUAAUGCUUAGGAAUCUGCCUAUUAGUGGGGGACGACAUCUCGAAAGGGAUGCUAAUACCGCAUACGUCCUACGGGAGAAAGCAGGGGAUCUUCGGACCUUGCGCUAAUAGAUGAGCCUAAGCCGGAUUAGCUAGUUGGUGGGGUAAAGGCCUACCAAGGCGACGAUCUGUAGCGGGUCUGAGAGGAUGAUCCGCCACACUGGGACUGAGACACGGCCCAGACUCCUACGGGAGGCAGCAGUGGGGAAUAUUGGACAAUGGGGGGAACCCUGAUCCAGCCAUGCCGCGUGUGUGAAGAAGGCCUUAUGGUUGUAAAGCACUUUAAGCGAGGAGGAGGCUACUCUAGUUAAUACCUAGGGAUAGUGGACGUUACUCGCAGAAUAAGCACCGGCUAACUCUGUGCCAGCCGCCGCCGCAAUAC